GUGCUCGCUUCGCCAGCACAUAUACUAAAAUUGGAACGAUGCAGAGAUUAGCAUGGCCCCUGCACAAGGACGGCACGCAAGUUCUGGAAGCGUUCCAUAUUUUU